rnacentral:rRNA from 1 species
AUUGAACGCUGGCGGAAUGCUUUACACAUGCAAGUCGAGCGGCAGCGCGGGGCAACCUGGCGGCGAGCGGCGAACGGGUGAGUAAUGCAUCGGAAUGUACCCAGUCGUGAGGGAUAACACAGCGAAAGUUGUGCUAAUACCGCAUACGUCCUGAGGGAGAAAGCGGGGGAUCGCAAGACCUCGCGCGAUUGGAGCAGCCGAUGUCAGAUUAGCUAGUUGGUGAGGUAAAGGCUCACCAAGGCGACGAUCUGUAGCGGGUCUGAGAGGAGGACCCGCCACACUGGAACUGGGACACUGUCCAGACUCCUACGGGAGGCAGCAGUGGGGAAUUUUGGACAAUGGGCGAAAGCCUGAUCCAGCCAUUCCGCGUGAGUGAAGAAGGCCUUCGGGUUGUAAAGCCCUUUCGGCAGGAACGAAACGGACGUCUCUAACAUAGAUGGCUAAUGACGGUACCUGAAGAAGAAGCACCGGCUAACUACGUGCCAGCCGCCGCGGUAA